AGGUCAUGGCGGGCAAUCUGAAGGUCAGUAUGGCUGCAAGGUCAUGGCGGGCGGUUUGGAGAACUGUAUGACUUCUCCUUACUUUGAGAGAUCUUGGGCUUCCCAGUCUUGUCUUCCUUCCUCUUACCAGUUCCAAGCUAGUGAGCAGCUUCCAGCUCUAAGGACUCAGGGCUGCUGAAGCCUUGUCCUCUCUCCAAGUACAAUGUGCCCGGCGAGGGCGGGACUCGGGUGACGCAGAGCCUCAUGGGAAACCACUUCUGCAGUUCCGUGCUGCAGACAGGAGAACGAGCCGUGAUCCUACGCUCACCGCUGUUACAUCUUCGUUGUAAGGAGAGAGUCCGCUGUUUUCAAUCCAGGAUCCUUGAAACAUUUGGAACGGAAGGAGCCUUUCUGACUUCCAGCUGCGAAGAGUCACAGAGAGCAGCAGUUCUGGUCCGGUCCCAUGCACGCAUCUUCUGCAGCAAGCAUUCAGGCAGUUGCUCAAAUGCAGAUCUGGAUGCGGCUCCUGCGGGGAAAGCGAGCUCCUCGAGCAUUCCAUAUUUGGUUGUAUGUCAUCUGGAACAGAAAUGCGCUUUCCUGGGUCCGCUGCCCACAGGCCCCAGUUCUGCUUUCUACAGAUAAACAGAAGUAACCUG
rnacentral:lncRNA from 1 species